rnacentral:rRNA from 1 species
AUACGGAGGGUGCGAGCGUUAAUCGGAAUUACUGGGCGUAAAGCGUACGUAGGCGGUUGGUUAAGUUAGAUUUGAAAGCCCCGGGCUUAACCUGGGAACUGCAUUUAAAACUGGCGAACUAGAGUUGAGUAGAGGGGAGUGGAAUUUCAGGUGUAGCGGUGAAAUGCGUAGAGAUCUGAAGGAACACCAGUGGCGAAGGCGACUCCCUGGACUCGAACUGACGCUGAGGUACGAAAGCGUGGGUAGCAAACGGGAUUAGAAACCCCAGUAGUCC